rnacentral:rRNA from 1 species
AGUGAACGCUGGCGGUAGGCCUAACACAUGCAAGUCGAACGGCAGCACAGUAAGAGCUUGCUCUUACGGGUGGCGAGUGGCGGACGGGUGAGGAAUACAUCGGAAUCUACUUUUUCGUGGGGGAUAACGUAGGGAAACUUACGCUAAUACCGCAUACGACCUACGGGUGAAAGCAGGGGAUCUUCGGACCUUGCGCGAUUGAAUGAGCCGAUGUCGGCUUAGCUAGUUGGCGGGGUAAAGGCCCACCAAGGCGACGAUCCGUAGCUGGUCUGAGAGGAUGAUCAGCCACACUGGAACUGAGACACGGUCCAGACCCCUACGGGAGGCAGCAGUGGGGAAUAUUGGACAAUGGGCGCAAGCCUGAUCCAGCCAUACCGCGUGGGUGAAGAAGGCCUGCGGGUUGUAAAGCCCUUUUGUUGGGAAAGAAAAGCAGCAGGUUAAUACCCCGCUGUUCUGACGGGACCCAAAGAAUAAGCACCGGCUAACUUCGU